AUGUCCCUGCUGUGUGCGUGUAGGUUGGAUGAAACAAGAACCAACAUUUCAACAUAGGGAGCCUAACUUUGAAUGUGGAGCGGCAUGCUCUUUCAACAAGGAGAAACCCGAAGCAUUUAAGAAGGCGCCCACCUGGUAAACGGGUUCUUAUGUUGUUAACCAGCCCCACGCCAGUAGCGGGGAUUUU
rnacentral:other from 1 species